GGCAGGCCUAACACAUGCAAGUCGAGCGGUAACAUUUCUAGCUUGCUAGAAGAUGACGAGCGGCGGACGGGUGAGUAACGCGUAGAAAUCUGCCUAGUAGUGGGGGAUAGCCCAGAGAAAUUUGGAUUAAUACCGCAUACGCCUACGGGGAAAGCGGGGAGUCUUCGGACCUCGUGCUAUUAGAUGAGUCUGCGUCGGAUUAGCUUGUUGGUGAGGUAAUGGCUCACCAAGGCGACGAUCCGUAGCUGGUCUGAGAGGAUGACCAGCCACACUGGAACUGAGACACGGUCCAGACUCCUACGGGAGACAGCAGUGGGGAAUAUUGCACAAUGGGCGCAAGCCUGAUGCAGCCAUGCCGCGUGUGUGAAGAAGGCCUUAGGGUUGUAAAGCACUUUCAGCAGUGAGGAAAGGGGUGUCGUUAAUAGCGCCAUCCUGUGACGUUAACUGCAGAAGAAGGACCGGCUAACUCCGUG
rnacentral:rRNA from 1 species